rnacentral:rRNA from 1 species
UUAAAUUGAAGAGUUUGAUCAUGGCUCAGAUUGAACGCUGGCGGCAGGCCUAACACAUGCAAGUCGAACGGUAACAGAAAGCAGCUUGCUGCUUUGCUGACGAGUGGCGGACGGGUGAGUAAUGUCUGGGAAACUGCCUGAUGGAGGGGGAUAACUACUGGAAACGGUAGCUAAUACCGCAUAACGUCGCAAGACCAAAGAGGGGGACCUUCGGGCCUCUUGCCAUCGGAUGUGCCCAGAUGGGAUUAGCUAGUAGGUGGGGUAACGGCUCACCUAGGCGACGAUCCCUAGCUGGUCUGAGAGGAUGACCAGCCACACUGGAACUGAGACACGGUCCAGACU